rnacentral:lncRNA from 1 species
AGGAAGCCGGGUCCCCUUAGGGCUCUUUUUGUCCUUCCAUCUUUCCAUGUAUAUAUCUUUUCUUUUGUUGUUUUUUCUUGUUCUUGUUGUUUUGCUUUCCUUCUUUUAGCCUGCUGGGCUUUGUAGUGUAUAUUUUGUGGAUGAAAUGAAAAGGAGAUUUUGUGUUACCUCAUCCACGUGUCGCAUUAAAUCGUCGUCCGCCAAACUUCUUUCGUC